GAUGAACGCUGGCGGCGUGCCUAAUACAUGCAAGUCGAGCGAACAGAUGAGAAGCUUGCUUCUCUGAUGUUAGCGGCGGACGGGUGAGUAACACGUGGGUAACCUACCUAUAAGACUGGGAUAACUCCGGGAAACCGGGGCUAAUGCCGGAUAAUAUUUUGAACCGCAUGGUUCAAUAGUGAAAGACGGUUUCGGCUGUCACUUAUAGAUGGACCCGCGCCGUAUUAGCUAGUUGGUAAGGUAAAGGCUUACCAAGGCGACGAUACGUAGCCGAGCUGAGAGGGUGGUCGGCCACACUGGAACUGAGACACGGUCCAGAUUCCUCCGGGAGGCAGCAGUAGGGAAUCUUCCGCAAUGGGCGAAAGCCUGACGGAGCAACGCCGCGUGAGUGAUGAAGGUCUUCGGAUCGUAAAACUCUGUUGUUAGGGAAGAACAAAUUUGUUAGUAACUGAACAAGUCUUGACGGUACCUAACCAGAAAGCCACGGCUAACUACGUGCCAGCCGCCGCGGUAA
rnacentral:rRNA from 1 species